rnacentral:tRNA from 1 species
ACCUGGGUGGCUCAGUUGGUUGAGCGUCCAACUUUAGCUUAGGUCGUUAUCUCACAGUUCGUGGGUUCGAACCCCACAUCGGGCU